UGCAACCUACGGGAGGCAGCAGUGGGGAAUAUUGCACAAUGGGGGGAACCCUGAUGCAGCAAUGCCGCGUGGGUGAAGAAGCACUCCGGUGCGUAAAGCCCUGUCAGCAGGGAAGAAAAUGACAGUACCUGGACAAGAAGCCCCGGCUAACUACGUGCCAGCAGCCGCGGUAAUACGUAGGGGGCAAGCGUUAUCCGGAUUUACUGGGUGUAAAGGGAGCGCAGGCGGCGUGGCAAGUCAGAUGUGAAAACCCGGGGCCCAACCCCGGAACUGCAUUGGAAACUGCAUUUCUAGAGUGUCGGAGG
rnacentral:rRNA from 1 species